rnacentral:rRNA from 1 species
UAAUACGAAGGGUGCAAGCGUUACUCGGAAUUACUGGGCGUAAAGCGUGCGUAGGUGGUUGUUUAAGUCCGUUGUGAAAGCCCUGGGCUCAACCUGGGAAUUGCAGUGGAUACUGGGCAACUAGAGUGUGAUAGAGGGUGGCGGAAUUCCCGGUGUAGCAGUGAAAUGCGUAGAUAUCGGGAGGAACAUCCGUGGCGAAGGCGGCCACCUGGGUCAACACUGACACUGAGGCACGAAAGCGUGGGGAGCAAACAGGAUUAGAUACCCUGGUAGUCCACGCCCUAAACGAUGCGAACUGGAUGUUGGGUGCAACUUGGCACGCAGUAUCGAAGCUAACGCGUUAAGUUCGCCGCCUGGGGAGUACGGUCGCAAGACUG